AUACUUACCUGAUAGGAGAGAUACUGUGAUCAUUAAGACAGUAUUCUCAGGGCGAGGCCUACCCAUUGCACUUCAGGGGAGGGAGGUUGACCCUUGCGAUUUUUCCCAAAUGUGGGAAACUCGACUGUACAAUUUGAGGAGUGC
rnacentral:snRNA from 1 species